GCUCAGGAUGAACGCUAGCUACAGGCUUAACACAUGCAAGUCGAGGGGUAGCAGGGUAGCAAUACCGCUGACGACCGGCGCACGGGUGAGUAACACGUAUCCAACCUUCCCAUAACUCGGGGAUAGCCUUUCGAAAGAAAGAUUAAUACCCGAUAGUACUUUUUCAAGGCAUCUUGAGAAAGUUAAAGAUUUAUUGGUUAUGGAUGGGGAUGCGUUCCAUUAGAUAGUUGGUGAGGUAACGGCUCACCAAGUCUUCGAUGGAUAGGGGUUCUGAGAGGAAGGUCCCCCACAUUGGUACUGAGACACGGACCAAACUCCUACGGGAGGCAGCAGUGAGGA
rnacentral:rRNA from 1 species